GACGAACGCUGGCGGCGUGCCUAAUACAUGCAAGUCGAACGCAGUGGGGACGGGUGAGUAACACGUGGGUAACCUCCCAUCAGAGGGGAUAACACUUGGAAACAGGUGCUAAACCGAUACUGAUGGAUGGACCCGCGGUGCAUUAGCUAGUGGGUGAGGUAACGGCUCACCAAUGCCACGAUGCAUAGCGGACCGGAGAGAAUGAUGAGCCACACUGGAACUGGGACACGGACCCACAUCCUACGGAAGGCAGAAGUAGGGAAGCUAAGGCAAUGGACGAAAGUCUGACGGAGCAACGCCGCGGGAGUGAAGAAGGUGUGCGGAACGUAAAACACUGUUGUUAGAGAAGCGGUAUCUAACCAGAAAGCCACGGCUAACUACAUGCCAGCAGCCGCGGUAAUUC
rnacentral:rRNA from 1 species